rnacentral:rRNA from 1 species
GAUGAACGCUGGCGGCGUGCCAAAUACAUGCAAGUCGAGCGAAUGGAUUAAGAGCUUGCUCUUAUGAAGUUAGCGGCGGACGGGUGAGUAACACGUGGGUAACCUGCCCAUAAGACUGGGAUAACUCCGGGAAACCGGGGCUAAUACCGGAUAACAUCUUGAACCGCAUGGUUCGAAAUUGAAAGGCGGCUUCGGCUGUCACUUAUGGAUGGACCCGCGUCGCAUUAGCUAGUUGGUGAGGUAACGGCUCACCAAGGCAACGAUGCGUAGCCGCCCUGAGAGGGUGAUCGGCCACACUGGGACUGCGACACGGCCCAGACUCCUACGGGAGGCAGCAGUAGGGAAUCUUCCGCAAUGGACGAAAGUCUGACGGAGCAACGCCGCGUGAGUGACGAAGGCUUUCGGGUCGUAAAACUCUGUUGUUAGGGAAGAACAAGUGCUAGUUGAAUAAGCUGGCACCUUGACGGUACCUAACCAGAAAGCCACGGCUAACUACGUGCCAGCAGCCGCGGUAA